GGUCCACCAGGCUCCUCUGUCCACGGAAUUCUCCAGGCAAGAAUUCUGGAGACCCUGGGGGGAGCUUCAGGACUGGGGAGACCCUGGGAUCCUGGUUGCUGGAAAAGCAGGUCCUCUCCAGUGGCUGUCCUACAACCAGCUGGGAAACGUGGGCCUGAUGCCAUCCGUUACUGAGUUCUGUUCACAGAUGAAUAUAUUGAAAGGUGAUGAGUACAAAGUAACUUGGCUGCCAGCCCAUCAGUACAGUAAAA